UGCCUUGUUCCCUCAGUAGUUGUGGAGGAAUUUCAGCCCAAGAAGCUCUGGCUCUGGAACAGCAGAACAGGAGGGAGAGGAGCUGCACAAACCCUCCCACAUCCCUUCUCUGUGGAUGUUCCCCAGGGCAGUGCUGACCUCCACUCUGCUCAUCACGGAGAAAACCCAGUGAGCUCUGCAAGCAGGGACCCCAAUUCCUCUGCUUGUGUUCAAUUGUGGGUGUUCACUGCUGUGGAAAAAAGGUGGAUUCACAAAACAUUGGUGACAUUGGUACGGAAAAGAGAAGAUCCUGCAUGUGAAUAUUGAGGAGCUCAUUCUCACAGGAAUUGUGCCCAGUUGGUGUGAAUGACACAGAACCAGCCUGAAGGAUGCAGUGAUCAGGAGGGUGAC